GUGUUAGCUCAGUCAGUAGAGCGUGAAACGCUUAAUCUCAUGGUCGUGGGUUUGAGCCCCAUGUUGGGCA